GUGGGUGUCUGUCCGGGAAUGUGUUUGCAAUUGCUGAGCCUCUCAAACAACGAGGUCGCCUGCCAUAGGUGCCCGUAAAUCCGCCAACACGGUUCUUCUUCAAGGUGGGUUUCGAUUCUAUCGGAUCGCUGCGCAUCAUCUCGUUCAUCUUUUCUGAGGUCGGCUCAUGGACUGCACGAGAUCUUAUAUACACCCUUCAGAAUUGUUGGGAAGCUAUAGAAGCCGGCGUCACUGACAACGCUAGUUAUGUUCAGGCUUCUAAAAUGCAGGAAACAUAGGGCCACACCAUAGGGUAUUCAUUUAAAAGAAAGAUGAGUGGGUGAGUGAAGGAUGUGACUGGAUGCACUCGAGGCAGUAACGAAAACGCUGGCGAGAUGUGAGCAACUGUUGAGGAGUCCGUCGAGUCUCUGAAGCAAGUUGCUUCGCGUUCGGGACUUCUAUAAAGGCGUCACAGCAUCUUUACAUGUGCCAACUGUCGAGUGUCCCUGCAUGCUGAGCCUAAAAUUAAGAAAAUCGCACGGAAAUAUACCCCAAGCAAGAAAUAAAUAACGCCUAUAACGGGAUCGCAAACCUCAAAUAUAGCUAAACUUAAAAAAAGCAAUGACUCUGACACUGCAGGGAAGAAUGACAGAAUGAACUGCUUCCAGAACAAUAUUGCAUGAAAAAAAUGUCUAGCAGCUUUUAGAAUACCAGGGAAAUCACAAGCAAAAGACCCCUAUAAGGAACUUUUAUAAUCACUACCGAUUCUUAGUAGACAAGUUAAGUAGCUUCAGUUCCGUCUAGCUUUCAACCAAGAAAAUUGACAAGCGUUCAUAAAUUUGAACAUCAGGUUUCCUUACUGCAAAUUUCGGGUCAUCAAAUUGCUUUGGAUAAAAUGUUUCCCUAUUAUCGAAAACCAAGGUGUGCAAUUAGAAAACCUCUGGUACGUUAUUUUAUUAGUGGAGACUCUUUUCUGAGGAAAAAUCUUUGGAACGCUGACUCAAGUGCGAACUCUUUAGUUUUAGCGUAACAUAUUUUCGACUUGGAUAAAUAAUAGGCUGGAACAAAAGGUGUUACACAAAGGCGCAUCGCUUAUAUCAAAGGGCUGGUCGAAGUUGCGAAGGAUAUAAUCAUCUUGGUCAAAACGAGCACACUAUUGCAUAGUUGGCGACCUAAUGAUGCCUGUACUAAUCAAUAUAAUAAGGCAAGAGUUAGUUUGACGAAAUGUAUUGCGGUAUUUGUCCUUCGUCAAAGCCGGACCUUUGCAAUACCAUAUUGCUUUAAUAAGCAGUGGGGGGAACUAUUAUUCUCAAGACAUAGGAGACGUAUAUUAUCUAAGCCAAUUCUGUUUAGUUGAGGCAAUUUCAUCCGGCUUGAAAGAUAUUCGUAUA